AGCGAACGCUGGCGGCAGGCUUAACACAUGCAAGUCGAGCGGGCAUAGCAAUAUGUCAGCGGCAGACGGGUGAGUAACGCGUGGGAACGUACCUUUUGGUUCGGAACAACUGAGGGAAACUUCAGCUAAUACCGGAUAAGCCCUUACGGGGAAAGAUUUAUUGCCGAAAGAUCGGCCCGCGUCUGAUUAGCUAGUUGGUGAGGUAAUGGCUCACCAAGGCGACGAUCAGUAGCUGGUCUGAGAGGAUGAUCAGCCACAUUGGGACUGAGACACGGCCCAAACUCCUACGGGAGGCAGCAGUGGGGAAUAUUGGACAAUGGGCGCAAGCCUGAUCCAGCCAUGCCGCGUGAGUGAUGAAGGCCCUAGGGUUGUAAAGCUCUUUUGUGCGGGAAGAUAAUGACGGUACCGCAAGAAUAAGCCCCGGCUAACUUCGUGCCAGCAGCCGCCGUAA
rnacentral:rRNA from 1 species